rnacentral:rRNA from 1 species
CCUACGGGUGGCUGCAGUGGGGAAUAUUGCACAAUGGGGGAAACCCUGAUGCAGCGAAGCCGCGUGAGUGAAGAAGUAAUUCGGUAUGUAAAGCUCUAUCAGCAGGGAAGAAAAUGACGGUACCUGAGUAAGAAGCCCCGGCCAACGACGUGCCAGCAGCCGCGGGAAUACGUAGGGGGCAGGCGUUAUCCGGAUUUACGGGGGGUAAAGGGAGCGUAGACGGCAGUGCAAGUCUGGAGUGAAAGGCGGGGGGUCAACCCCCGCACUGCUCUGGAAACUGUACGGCUGGAGUGCAGGAGAGGUAAGUGGAAUUCCUGGUGUAGCGGUGAAAUGCGUAGAUAUUAGGAGGAACACCAGUGGCGAAGGCGGCUUACUGGACUGUAACUGACGUUGAGGCUCGAAAGCGUGGGGAGCAAACAGGAUUAGAUACCCGAGUAGUC